rnacentral:rRNA from 1 species
CUUUACUGUAGCCUGGUAUUGGGUUCGGGCUUUGACUGCGCAGGAUAGGUGGGAGACUAUGAAGCUGCCCUUGUGGGGGCAGUGGAGUCAUCAGUGAGAUACCACUCUGUCAAGGCUAGAAUUCUAACCGUCUGCCGUUAUCCGGCGACGGAACAGUAUCAGGUGGGCAGUUUGACUGGGGCGGUCGCCUCCUAAACGGUAACGGAGGCGCGCAAAGGUUCCCUCAGGCUGGUUGGAAAUCAGCCGAAGAGUGUAAAGGCAGAAGGGAGCUUGACUGCAAGAGCAACAACUCAAGCAGGGACGAAAGUCGGCCUUAGUGAUCCGACGGCGCUGAGUGGAAAGGCCGUCGCUAAACGGAUAAAAGUUA